CAAUCAUUAUGCAAAUGAAAAGAUUGCUUUUAUUCUUGUUUUUAGGGUUUUUUGUGAUCACCAAUUUCAUGCAAAAAGCGAAAAGGGAAAACAAAUGGAAAAACAAAUGUUUUAAUCAAACAAGGCAAUCAUUAUGCAAAUGAAAAGAUUGCUUUUAUUCUUGUUUUUAGGGUUUUUUGUGAUCACCAAUUUCAUGCAAAAAGCGAAAAGGGAAAACAAAUGGAAAAACAAAUGUUUUAAC
rnacentral:lncRNA from 1 species